UAGACUUAAAGGUUAAAAUUCUAGAAUAUGAGAAAUGAAUGUUGUGUAAGAAAUAGAAAAAAGUGGACUCAAUGCAUAAGGAGGUAAACAGUUUGUAGUCUACCUUGCCCAAGUUUGCUUCUCAAUAGAAUUCUAGUAUCUGCCAUGCAAAUCUGAUUGAGUCACGGCCUAAUUAUUACACUCCAGCUGCUGUUUCUUUCUUUGAGGUCAGAAUUUAUUAAUUUAAGAAGAUUAUUCCUUUAGUUACCAUAUGUAUUCUUAGAGCUUAUUAGGAAGCUCUUUGCCCGUAAGUGGCAUUACAACAUCUGCUAUGCAUGUUUGAGCUGGCAUAAAAUGGUUAUUUUUUUUUGUUGUUUUCUGCCAUAUCAGGUGAUCUGUUUGAAGAUACCUGUGUGAGCGGUGUUGACUGUGCUGCUAAGGUCACGAUGUGUGUGACAUCAGUGCAGUGUUGCUAAGCAGCAGUUAGCAGCUUACAUUCCACAUUUGGUUCCUUUGAUUUUGCAGUUUAUAUGGAGCUGACACGCUCGUGCUCGCAGCCUGGGAGUGCUGCCUUGGCACUGCGUGCUUCUCACAUGAGCUCAGUAGGAUCAGCCGAGUCUGUCUGGCGCACCGAGUCCUCUGCAAUGGGGUGGACAUAAGCAAAGAGAGUGAAUGGAUAGAGCAGUUACACUAGGCGUUGGUGUCGAGAGAAGUGUUUUAGCUGUUGUCAAAUCAACAUUGCACUUGCAAAGCUCUGGAGGAGAGAGGCACAGCCACAGCAGCAGGAAUCGCAGCUGCUCUUCAGCAGCCAGCACUGGCAGCGGCAGGGCCUCAGGCACAAAUGUGAGGUGCUGCGUCCCCCUGAUGCCAAACACCCAGCUUUCUACUCAGUCGGUGCCACUUAUCAUGAAAAUAAUCUUGACUGCUGCUCUUUUCAUCCUUGUCAUCACUUUUUAUUGAUUCCUGUACUGGAGGGCUGCUUUGUCUUCCUGGAGGAGAUGUGAAUUACACCUGCCCCACCACAGCCACUGUGCAGUCACUGUGGCUGCUGGGAGAAGACCCAAAGGAGUAGCAAAGCUAUGGGUGAUGAUCAGAAGGUGCUGCAGAAAUUACUGCUGCCCAUCUCUUCCACAGCAGCAGAGGGCUAAGAGGCUAUGCAUAGUGUACGUACAUGUGUUUUUUUUUUUUUUUUUUUUUUUUUUUUUCUUCCCAUGAUUUAUGGCCCUGAGUAGUAUGAGAAGUUGGGAAAAAAAGAGAUGAAAAAAGUAGAAAGAACUUUUAGACUCUUACAAGCCUGGAGCCUUCCUUCUUGUUCUGAUGAGUGACCAGUGAGACUGGUUGAGCUGUGGUAGCUUGGGUGACUUACAAGCUCCUAGGUAGCAGCUACAGCUGCAGUAAACACUUAGCUCUGAGCUGCGCAGCCCAGGUUCCUGGGCAAAAAGCCUUUCAUGCUGAGCUCCUCACCAAGUCCGUCUGUUUGUAGGUUGGCAUCCAACAGGCUUCUUUACUGUGCCCCAUCCCUGGAGUGGCUGGGGCCGAGAUGUGGCUGUCUGGCAGUCUGAGUGCCACCUGCUUCCGCUGCACCUGGCUGGGUUCAGUGGCGGCUGCCAAAGGCGGGUGAAGGUGCUUUGGCAGGCAGGAGCUGCUGCUGCGUGCUUACGGCCAGCCUAAGGUGAGACUGUGCACACCUGGACACAGCCGUGCCUCUGGGCUAUAGCUCCUAUCCCAGCUCCUCCUCCCUGGAGAACAAGCCAACAGUGGGAGCUGCAUAAUUGUAACAGUUAAUUGUAAUAAUGCUAUAGUGUCCAAGGCAGAACAGAGCAGAAGUAAGCAGGCUUAAAACAAACAAACAAAAAAAUCCCCAAGAGCGACAUAGUGUUAUUUUAGAAUAAAAGCACAUGUAGCUGAACUAAUACUCCUGACGAACAAGGACAUGGCUUUCUCUCAGGGCAUCCUGCAGUCCUGUAGGGAAUAAGUGACCUUAUUUGCAUUUUUCUUGUUGAAUUGCUGUCGGGAUUUUUGCAGCAUGGCAAGAGAAAAUUCCUCCAGGAGAACAUGGAAAUAUCACAGCACUAACGCAAUAUCUUUCAACCAGGUUCCUUUUCCUCAGCCAUUCUUUGCCCCUUGCAUUGCCAUCUGGACAGCCACCCAGCACUGAACAGUGCGUCUCCUUCUCUCCAAUGCAACUCCUUUUUCUUACAACAUAGUCUGAAAGCCACCGAUACAAUACAUAAAUAAACCUUAAAUCUUAAUGCCCACAAAAUAAGCCUUAAGGAUGAUUUAAAUUUUUCUCUGUAUUUCAAAACCAUUGAAGUUGCUCCUUCACCCUUUUCCAGAAAUAAUAAGCUGUCGUCUUCCCUACAUGCUUCUGCCCUUCCUCCCCAGCCUUUUUUUUUUUUUUUUUGAAAGCAGAGCAAGGAGCUUCCCUCCCCUUCUACUUGAACAUUCUACUUGCACAUUCUUUGCUCCUUUUUCAAGGCAGCAUUUCGAAUUUGAAGUUUAUGAUUUUGGACGCUUUUAUCAGGAACAUUUUCAGCUCUAAUCAUGUUCUCUAAAUUGCUCUGACUUUUUCCCAGCAUGAUGUCCAAUUUUCUAGUUAGAUAAUUAAAUUCAGAGCAUAGGAGCAUUUCAGCUCUUUAGCAAAGGUAUUGCAUUAGACCCAGAUGUAAGACAAACUGCUGUGGAACUCGCGUGACAUAGUCUCUGAUGAUGUCAACUGAUAGAGAGAAAAAAUGACUUUUGAAGCAGUAUCUUCAUCUCUGUUUAGCAUAAUGCCACUGUUUCCCCAGCCCAUUGGCUUCAUCUUCGUGUCAGCAGAGGCGUAGAAAUCAGUGACUUCAGGUGCUGCAGUUCACACCCCUGUGUACCAGCAGAAAGGUCCAGCAGACAUGGGCAUAGCUGUAAAUACUCGAAGGUCCCUCUCUCCAUAGCGACAGCAGUAGCAUGAGCAGAAGCAGGUGCCCAGCAAGCCCUCCAGCCCUGCCUGCCACCAGUACAGGAUCAGAGUGCUACAGAGGGCUCCACUCACUGAUCACAUCACUCCAAAACAUUUGGCAUUUAACCACUUUUAUGCUUCUCUGUCUAACAGUGCCUCCAGUGUGGAGGUGUGUCUACACCAGCUGCCCUGCUUCCUCUCCUGCCUGCCUGUUGGAGUAAUAUAUGUGAUAUAGAUGCUAGGUCUUAACUCAUCAGGUAGUUAAACACUAGCUGGAAUUUCUGCCAACCACAGGGAAUUUAACACAAUUAAACCUAUACUCAGGUUUUUCAGACUACAAGGCAAAAUUGAUUAAGUUCCAGAAAUUAACUUUUUUUUAAUCUGAAUUUUUUUA